UUACGGCUCAGUAACACGUCGAUAACUUGCCUUUGGGCCUGGAAUAACCUUGGGAAACUGAGGCUAAGACUGGAUAUGAAAUUAUACCUGGAAUGGUUUAUUUCUUAAAGGUAACACCUAAGGAUAGGACGGCGGCAGAUUAGGCUGUUGGCGAGGUAAUGGCUCACCAAACCUAAGAUCUGUAGGGGCUCUGAGAGGAGUUGCCCCGAGAAGGGCACUGAGAUACUGGCCCUAGCCCUACGGGGUGCAGCAGGCGCGAAAACUUUACAAUGCACGAAAGUGUGAUAAGGGAACCCAAAGUGCUUUGCUUUGCAAGGCUUUUGCCAAGUGUAAAUAACUUGGAGAAUAAGUGGUGGGCAAGACUGGUGCCAGCCGCCGCGGUAACACCAGCUCCACAAGUGGCAAUCCCAUUUAUUUGGCCUAAAGCGUCCGUAGCCGGUUUAGUAAAUCUUUUGUGAAAUCGUUCGGCUUAACCGAUCGGCGUGCAGAAGACACUGCUAAACUAGGGACCGGGAAGGGUUAGAGGUAUGCUAGGGGGAGCGGUAAAAUGCUAUAAUCCCUAGUAGACCACCUGUGGCGAAGGCGUCUAACUAGAACGGGUCCGACGGUGAGGGACGAAAGCCAGGGGAGCAAACCGGAUUAGAUUGAGAUUUUUGUCGAAUAAUCUACAGGUAUCAACUUAAGUUUGCUAUUAAAAACACUAUAAGUCUGAUGCUGAUAACAUGACAAGAUAUCUCCUAACUACCCGAGUAGUCCUGGCCGUAAACGCUGCGAGCUAGGUGUUGCAUAUUCUUCGUGAAUAUGCAGUGUCGGAGUGAAGAUGUUAAGCU
rnacentral:rRNA from 1 species